CCCAUCAGCCAUGGUCAACCCCACCGUGUUCUUCGACAUCGCCGUCGACGGCGAGCCUUUGGGCCGCGUCUCCUUCGAGCUGUUUGCAGACAAAGUUCCAAAGACAGCAGAAAACUUUCGUGCUCUGAGUACUGGAGAGAAAGGAUUUGGUAUAAUGGUUCCUGCUUUCACAGAAUUAUUCCAGGGUUUAUGUGCCAGGGUGGUGACUUUACACGCCAUAAUGGCACUGGUGGCAAGUCCAUCUAUGGGGAGAAAUUUGAUGAUGAGAACUUCAUCUUGAAGCAUACAGGUCCCGGCAUCUUGUCCAUGGCAAAUGCUGGACCCAACUCAAAAGGUUCCCAGUUUUUCAUCUGCACUACUAAGACUGAAUGGUUGGAUGGCAAGCAUGUGGUUUUUGGCAAGGUGUAAGGGGGCAUGCAAGUUGUGCAAGCCGUGGAGGGCUUUGGGUCCCAGAAUGGCAAGACCAGCAAGAAGAUCACCAUUGCUGACUGUGGACAACUCUAAUAUAUUUGACUUGUUUUAUCUUAA